ACUUCGGGGCAUGCAUCAGUAGCGGCGAGUGAAGCGGCAAGAGCUCAGAUUUGAAAUCUCACCAUUCGUGGUGCGAGUUGUAAAUUGCAGGUUGGAGUCUCGGUUUAGACGUGUGUGCAAGUCCCUUGGAACAGGGCGCCACUGAGGGUGAGAGCCCCGUAGUGUGCACGAUCGACGCUGUGAGGCCCUUCUGACGAGUCGAGUUGUUUGGGAAUGCAGCUCUAAGUGGGUGGUAAAUUCCAUCUAAGGCUAAAUAUUGGCGAGAGACCGAUAGCGAACAAGUACUGUGAAGGAAAGAUGAAAAGCACUUUGAAAAGAGAGUGAAACAGCACGUGAAAUUGUUGAAAGGGAAGGGUAUUGGGCUCGACAUGGGAUUUACGCAUCGUUGCCUCUCGUGGGCGGCGCUCUGGGUUUUUCCUGGGCCAGCAUCGGUUUCUGUUGCAGGAUAAGGACCUUUGGAAUGUGGCUCCUCGGAGUGUUAUAGCCAUUGGUAGAUGCUGCAUAUGGGGACCGAGGGCUGCGGCGGACUCGUUUCGUCUCGGAUGCUGGCACAACGGCGCAAUACCGCCCGUCUUGAGCAACGGAACAAAUAAAAGAGGAGGGCGCGUCC
rnacentral:rRNA from 1 species